CCGCCGGGAUGUCUGGCCAGAAUUCAGCCCUUGGGGAGCGACCGCCGGAAUGUCUGGUUGAAGUUCAGCCGGAAUUCUGAGAGGCGGCCGGGACGUCCGGCCGGAAUUCCGAGUGACCGCCGGACGUCCGGCCGGAGUUCAGCCGGAAUUCUGAGUGACCACCGGAGUCCGGCCGGAGUUCGGCCGCUGCCGGGGACGUUUGCCCAGACUUUGGCCAGGCCGGACGGACGCCCCCGGGAGGGGCUGGAGGGGGGAGGGGAUCGGCCGAGGUGGCCUGAGGGUCAUUCCUGGUGGUCCAGGGGUCAUUCCUGGUGGUCCAAGGUAGUCCAAGGGUCAUUCCAGGUGGUUCAGAGUGGCCUGAGGGUCAUCCAAGGUGGCCCAAAGAGAUCCAAGGUGGCCCAAGGUCCAUCCAAGGUGGCCCAAAUUCCAUCCAAGGUGGCCCAAAUUCCAUCCGAGGUUGCCCAACGUCCACCCAAGGCCACCGCGGCUCCUCAGACCCCCAAGACCCCAAAUCCCCAAAAUUCCCCAAAAUCCCCAAAUUCCCAAAAAUCCCCAAAAUCCCCAAAAAUCCCAAAAAAUCCCCAAAAAUCCCCCAAAAUCCCCGAAUCCGCCCCGGGGGCGGUGGGGGGGGGGGGCGGGGGGGCGGCCCCCCCCCCCCCCCCCCCCCCCCCCCCCCCCCCAAAUUUGGGCUCUUCCCACCAAAAAAAAAUCGGGAAUUUUGGAAAUUUUGAGGAAAUUUGGGGGAUUUUUGGGGAAUUUUGGGAAUUUGGGGAUCUCCAUGGUACCACCGGGACCUCCCGGGUCUCUUCGCACUUUAAGACAUCCCCGAGGCCCCACCCAGGGCACAAAAAUCCCCAAAAAAUUCAAAAUCAAAAAAGGCUCCAAAUCCCAAAAUUCCCAAUUUUGGGCAUUUUGGGGGAUUAAAAUAAAAAAGAGGGAAAAAAAAAAUGGGAAAAACA
rnacentral:lncRNA from 1 species